AUGACACCCACAACCAUCAUGGUAUCCUUUUUCAUGGUUGCCCUCCUUCUAGGCCAAAACUUUGAUUUGGUAGCAGCAUCAAGGCCACUACAUCUACAUACACAUCCUCCAGCCAUACAUAUAGGAUCCCUGAACAAGCCAAUACCUCCUUCCAUUGGGCGGUUUACUAUAAACCGCUACAAGAUGACUGAGUCGUCGUCAGGCGCUGAUGCCUUCCGGCCAACUAGUCCCGGCCAUAGUCCUGGCGUUGGCCAUGAAAAUCCACCUGGUGCACCACUGUGA
rnacentral:lncRNA from 1 species